CCUACGGGAGGCAGCAGUGGGGAAUAUUGGACAAUGGGGGCAACCCUGAUCCAGCCAUGCCGCGUGUGUGAAGAAGGCCCUCGGGUUGUAAAGCACUUUCAGUGAGGAAGAACGCCUGGUGGUUAAUACCCAUCAGGAAAGACAUCACUCACAGAAGAAGCACCGGCUAACUCCGUGCCAGCAGCCGCGGUAAUACGGAGGGUGCGAGCGUUAAUCGGAAUUACUGGGCGUAAAGCGCGCGUAGGUGGCUUGAUAAGCCGGUUGUGAAAGCCCCGGGCUCAACCUGGGAACGGCAUCCGGAACUGUCAAGCUAGAGUGCAGGAGAGGAAGGUAGAAUUCCCGGUGUAUCGGUGAAAUGCGUAGAGAUCGGGAGGAAUACCAGUGGCGAAGGCGGCCUUCUGGACUGACACUGACACUGAGGUGCGAAAGCGUGGGUAGCAAACAGGAUUAGAUACCCUAGUAGUC
rnacentral:rRNA from 1 species